AUGGAUUCUUCAUCUGUUCUCGCUCUAAGCUGUAUCUUUUCUCAAUGGAGAAGAGGUGACUAUUACAAGGGCUAUUGCUUGGCGAUAUAUAAGCUUCCCUUCAACCUCUUGCCUGCUGCUCAUGAUGGCUCUUUACUGGACUGGUGGUUAAAGGCUCUGGAUGGUAUAGGUACAAGCAGAAAAAAGGAUCUCUCAUCUCUAAUCAUGGCGGUUUCCUGGCAUGUUUGGAGUGAAAGAAACAACCGUAUAUUCAAUAACAAGGUAACCCAUUUCCUGAAGGUCGCUGAGAGCAUCAUCAACGAGCUCAACUCUUGGAGAAUCGCUGGAUGCAGAGGAGCUCAAUGGACUGGCACAGGAUAG
rnacentral:rRNA from 1 species